UACUGGAUGAGCGCGUCGCGUGUUUUUUUUUCGCAAAGGCCAAAAUCGUCAUUUCGGUAAUUGCCACUGCGGCAUCGCGCUUUUCCCCCGAUGGGUUUUAAUGUGAUUAAGGAGGAUUAAUAAAAUUAUGACGUUCGCCGCUGGUACAUAAACACAAAGUGGGUUGAAGCUGAAAGAUGGACGCCAGAAAGCACGAGAUUUGCAAUUAAGCGCCGCGUAGCUGGCAAAGAAAUUGACCUCGAGCUGCGAAUGGUCUUCGAUGCUAAAUGAUUAUCGUUCGAUCGUGAACGUAAGUUAGUGUUUUUAGGGAUUGGCGGAACUGAAUGCACGGCUGUGUGUAGUAGCAGACGUUAUGCUUCCCUAUAAGUACCACCCCAAAACGUAUGGAUCGUGAAAUGUAUCUUCAUCGCUGAUGGCCGCGCGGUAGUGUAGCUUUUGUCUCGUGUGUGCUUAGUCACGUCGGGCAGUCUGGGUAGUGUUAUUGUUAUUUUGUUAUGAAAUCGAAUCGAUUCGAUUGUUUCGGCUGCGGCUUGCAAUUGUCAAAAAAUCUGAAGGAUAAAAUGGGAAAGUUAUGUUUCGAUUAGGAUGAUUGUUUUUAUUUUGUUAGCAUAAGCACACCACCAACGUUUGUCAGACAUUGUGUCCGGCAGAGCCUUUGCUUUGUAAGAACGAUUGUGUAGAGCUUUGGUAAAAAAAGCUUGAGAACAGAUUCAGCUGUCACUGUUACAGCCUAGAGCGUUUUGUGGGAUACAAGAUUCAUGUAGAGGACAUUCUGUUGGAAAUGGA